AAUGAUCAACAAUCAAACAAAAUCCUUUUAGAAAUUGUCGAAGCAACAUCGAAAUGCUUGGCUGACGGCUAUAGGAAAAACUACAUCUGAUCCGAAAUCAUGGGAAAAGUUACAAGUUUGCGAUAACCAUUUCAUCAGUGGAAAAAUGGUCGCAUUGCCAAAAUGGCCGUUACAUACACAAUAUGGACUGGGUGCCCAUAAUGAAUUUACGCUAUCCAAGAGACAGUAAGCCGAAAAUUCUGAGAUGCUCAGUAGCAGAUUGUGUGGUGUCUAAUCAAGGCGGUCAAUGCAGUUUCUAUCGUAUUUCAAAGGAUAUGACCAACGGAAAACGGAAUCAAAUUUCAGAAUUGAAACUAUCUGCUUGGAUAACAGCCUUAGGACUACGCGACGUGGUUCCAGCCACAUCAAAAAAUAUUUACGUCUGUCACGCUCAUUACAUGAUUGAUAUGAGAACAAAACAAAGAAAAACUUUGAUAGAGGAAGCGACUAAUCUGGACACUGGUGGAUCCGUGCAUUCUUAUGAAACUUU